CCUACGGGUGACAGCAGUCGAGAAUCAUUCACAAUGGGGGAAACCCUGAUGGUGCGACGCCGCGUGGGGGAAUGAAGGUCUUCGGAUGGUAAACCCCUGUCAUGUGGGAGCAAAUUAAAAAGAUAGUACCACAAGAGGAAGAGACGGCUAACUCUGUGCCAGCAGCCGCGGUAAUACAGAGGUCUCAAGCGUUGUUCGGAAUCACUGGGCGUAAAGCGUGCGUAGACUGUUUCGUAAGUCGUGUGUGAAAGGCGCGGGCUCAACCCGCGGACGGCACAUGAUACUGCGAGACUAGAGUAAUGGAGGGGGAACCGGAAUUCUCGGUGUAGCAGUGAAAUGCGUAGAUAUCGAGAGGAACACUCGUGGCGAAGGCGGGUUACUGGACAUUAACUGACGCUGAGGCACGAAGGCCAGGGGAGCGAAAGGGAUUAGAUACCCCAGUAGUC
rnacentral:rRNA from 1 species